GUACUGGAGGACACAUGCCGGCGGCAGGACUUCAACCCCAGUGAAUACGAUCUGAAGUUUCAGAGGACCGUGCUUGACCUGUCUCUCCAGUGGAGAUUUGCCAACCUGCCUAACAAUGCCAAGCUGGAGAUGGUGCCUGUGUCCCGGAGCCGAGAGGGACCCGAGAACAUGGUUCGAAUUGCAUUACAACUGGAUGAUGGCUCCAGGUUGCAGGACACUUUUUGUUCCCGCCAGACCCUCUGGGAGCUUCUCAGCCAUUUUGUACAGACCAGGGAGCGUCUGCAGCAUCUGGGUGAGAGGACCCCUGUUUGUGUGUACAUGAGGGAUGAGGUGACUGGUAGAACUGCCUUGCAGAAUACAACGCUUCAGUCACUGGGCCUAACAGGCGGUAGUGCCACCAUCAGGUUUGUCAUAAAGCAGUGUGACACCGUGGGCAAACAGGAGCCCAUUGCAGUCAGGAGCAAGGCCCCAGGAAGUCCAAUCUCCUCCAUGUCAGCUGACCAGGCAUCUAGCAGCCCCUUGCUUCCUUUGAACUCUGGGGAGUUCAGCAGGGGAGACCUGAACCAUCAGGGUGAUGCAAACACCUCAGAGGCCAGCCUUGGGAGUGGCCCAAAGCCAGCAGAUGCUCAGACAAAGCAAAGCACAAAGGAGUCUGCAUCUGCCCCUUUCGUUCCCUUCUCUGGUGGGGGGCAGCGGCUGGGGGGCCCUUCUGGGUCCUUGAGAUCUCUGACAUCACAUUCAGCCAAGUCUCUCAAGUCUUCCUCUGGCUCUGGAGGCCCUUCUAAGCCCAAGAAGUCAAAGCCUGGUGAGGAGCCCCAGCAGGAGCCUGAACCGCCCGUUGAUCGAGACCCUGUAGUGUGCCACCCUGAUCUGGAGGACUUGCUACAGCCCUGGCCAGCAGAGGUGCCUGACGAGUUCUUUGAAGUGACCGUGGAUGAUGUGAGGAGACGCCUGGCCCAGCUCAAGAGUGAGCGGAAGCGCCUGGAAGAAGCCCCCUUAGUGACCAAGGCCUUCAGGGAAGCACAGAUGAAAGAAAAACUGGAACGCUACCCAAAGGUGGCGCUGAGGGUCCUCUUCCCUGACCGUUACAUCCUGCAGGGCUUCUUCCGCCCUAGUGAGACAGUGGGGGACCUUCGAGACUUUGUUAGGAGCCACCUGGGGAAUCCUGAGCUCUCCUUUUACCUGUUCAUCGCUCCUCCCAAAAUGGUCCUGGAUGACCACACACUGACUCUCUUUCAGGCGCCGGCUCUCUUCCUUCAUCUCUGCCCCUCCCUACCUCCCUGGCCAGCCUGUUGAUAAACAUUGAAUCUGGAAGACGCUUUGGGAUUGAGGGCCAGUGCCCAGUCCCCUCCCCCAGUCGGGAUUCAUAUGCACCACCACCCCCAAAGCCCCAGGGUGCCUCUCAUCCGCCUUUGCCUGAUUCCUGGUGACACGCUGCCCCUGCUACCAGCAGUCUCCUUUCAUCGUCAGCUCUGUCUGGAGCCACAGGGCCUCCCAAGGGGUGGCAUCCCUGCCUGCUGCUGAGGGAAAGAGGCCUGCCCCCUCUGGGAGGCAAACCUCUUCCCUGCUGCCCUUGUACACUUUGGAGCUGAAGAACCAGCAGGUCUCUACCUGGAACCUGGACUGCUAGAACACACCGUCUCCCCAUCUGCAGCUGAUGUGCUGGUGGCCAG